rnacentral:rRNA from 1 species
GACGAACGCUGGCGGCGUGCUUAACACAUGCAAGUCGAACGGGUCUGCCCUGUUUUUUGCGGGGUGGGUCAGUGGCGACCGGGUGAGUAACACGUGAGUAACCUGCCCCUCACUUCUGGAUAACCGCUUGAAAGGGUGGCUAAUACGGGGUGUUCUGGCUGUGCCGCAUGGUGUGGCUGGGAAAGAUUCACUUUUGUGGUGUUUUGGUGGGGGAUGGGCUCGCGGCCUAUCAGCUUGUUGGUGGGGUGAUGGCCUGCCAAGGCUUUGACGGGUAGCCGGCCUGAGAGGGUGGGCGGUCACACUGGGACUGAGAUACGGCCCAGACUCCUGCGGGAGGCAGCAGUGGGGGGUAUUGCACAAUGGGCGGAAGCCUGAUGCAGCGACGUCGCGUGAGGGAUGGAGGCCUUCGGGUUGUGAACCUCUUUCGCCGGUGAAGAAGGUCCUGCUCUUUGUGGUGGGGUUGACGGUAGCCGGGUUAUGAAGCGCCGGCUAACUACGUG